AUUGAACGCUGGCGGCAUGCCUUACACAUGCAAGUCGAACGAAGUCUUCGGACUUAGUGGCGGACGGGUGAGUAACACGUGGGAACGUACCUUUUGGUUCGGAACAACUCAGGGAAACUUGAGCUAAUACCGGAUGAGCCCUUAGGGGGAAAGAUUUAUCGCCGAAAGAGCGGCCCGCGUUAGAUUAGCUAGUUGGUGAGGUAAAGGCUCACCAAGGCUACGAUCUAUAGCUGGUCUGAGAGGAUGAUCAGCCACACUGGGACUGAGACACGGCCCAGACUCCUACGGGAGGCAGCAGUGGGGAAUCUUGCGCAAUGGGCGAAAGCCUGACGCAGCCAUGCCGCGUGAAUGAUGAAGGUCUUAGGAUUGUAAAAUCCUUUUGGCAGGGAACAAUAUAUUGAGCGUACCUGCAGAAUAAGUGGUUGCUAACUCUGUGCCAGCCGCCGCAGUAAUAC
rnacentral:rRNA from 1 species